rnacentral:tRNA from 1 species
GCCGGGGUGGCGAAACUGGUAGACGCGUUGGAUUCAAAAUCCAAUUCCUUCGGGAGUGUCGGUUCGAUUCCGACCCUCGGUACCA